GGCGAGUGAAGCGGCAAAAGCUCAAAUUUGAAAUCUGGCACCUUCGGUGUCCGAGUUGUAAUUUGAAGAUUGUAACCUUGGGGUUGGCUCUUGUCUAUGUUUCUUGGAACAGGACGUCACAGAGGGUGAGAAUCCCGUGCGAUGAGAUGCCCAAUCCUAUGUAAGGUGCUUUCGAAGAGUCGAGUUGUUUGGGAAUGCAGCUCUAAGUGGGUGGUAAAUUCCAUCUAAAGCUAAAUAUUGGCGAGAGACCGAUAGCGAACAAGUACAGUGAUGGAAAGAUGAAAAGAACUUUGAAAAGAGAGUGAAAAAGUACGUGAAAUUGUUGAAAGGGAAGGGUUUGAGAUCAGACUCGAUAUUUUGUGAGCCUUGCCUUCGUGGCGGGGUGACCCGCAGCUUAUCGGGCCAGCAUCGGUUUGGGCGGUAGGAUAAUGGCGUAGGAAUGUGACUUUGCUUCGGUGAAGUGUUAUAGCCUGCGUUGAUGCUGCCUGCCUAGACCGAGGACUGCGAUUUUAUCAAGGAUGCUGGCAUAAUGAUCCCAAACCGCCCGUCU
rnacentral:rRNA from 1 species